rnacentral:lncRNA from 1 species
GCGUGCCUGGCUGUGUUGGCCAUAGCUGAUCAGUCUCCUUACCCUCCCCCUCCCCCUCCCCCUCCUCCUCCAUACCACCCUCCCCAACCGGCCUACCACAGUCAACCAGAUUAUCCUGAUGUCCCCCCGAGGUACAACUACAACUACGGUGUCGCCGACGGCUACUCCGGCGUCAACCUCGGCCACUCGGAGUCCCGCGACGGCUACAAGACCGAGGGCAGCUACACCGUGGACCUCCCCGACGGCCGCAAGCAGGUCGUCAAUUACGUGGACAACGGCGACGGUCUCGUAGCUGAGGUCACCUACGAGGGCGAGGCUCAGUACCCCGAGCACACCCCCGCCUACAAGCCCGCUCCCCCCGCCUACCCAGCCCCCCAUGCCUAGAGAUCUGUAACCUAACAUAUUCCGUAAUUUCGGAAUUACCUUCGAAAAUCAUUGACUGUUAUGCCUUCGCGUGCCAUCAUCACCAAACACAUACUUGUUUGUUUGUUUUCAGUCUCGUGGGUACAUCAAUAAAUGUCUACAUGUGUCA